rnacentral:tRNA from 1 species
GAGGGUAUAGCUCAGUGGUAGAGUGUGUGCUUAGCAUGCAUGAGGUCCUGGGUUCAAUCCCCAGUGCCUCCA